rnacentral:pre_miRNA from 1 species
UCUUAUGCAUGAGCAAAGAAAGUGGUUUCUUGAGAUGGAAUCUACUUCCGGUGAAGAUCCUGUGAA